rnacentral:rRNA from 1 species
GACGAACGCUGGCGGCGUGCUUAACACAUGCAAGUCGAACGGGAUUUAGUAGACAGAAGCUUCGGUGGAAGAUUACUAAUGAGAGUGGCGAACGGGUGAGUAACGCGUGAGCAACCUGCCUAUGACAGUGGGAUAGCCUCGGGAAACCGGGAUUAAUACCGCAUAAAAUCGUAGAAACACAUGUUUCAACGGUCAAAGAUUUAUCGGUCGUAGAUGGGCUCGCGUCUGAUUAGCUAGUUGGUGAGAUAACAGCCCACCAAGGCGACGAUCAGUAGCCGGUCUGAGAGGAUGAACGGCCACAUUGGAACUGAGACACGGUCCAAACUCCUACGGGAGGCAGCAGUGGGGAAUAUUGCACAAUGGGGGAAACCCUGAUGCAGCGACGCCGCGUGAACGAAGAAGGUAUUCGUAUCGUAAAGUUCUGUCCUAUGGGAAGAUAAUGACAGUACCAGAGAAGAAAGCUCCGGCUAAAUACGUG